ensembl:snRNA Gm24036 predicted gene, 24036
AUACUUACCUGGCAGGGGAGAUCUCAUGACCAUGAGGGUGAUUUUCCCAAGGUGAGGCUCAUCCAUUGCACUGUAGGUAUGUUAACCUGUGACUCCUCCAAAGGCAGGAAAGUCAGCUGCAUAAUUUGUGGUAGCAAAGAGUAUUGGUGUUCUUUC